UCUCCGUAGGUGAACCUGCGGAGGGAUCAUUACAGAGUUCAUGCCCUACCAGCUAGAUCUCACACCCCAUGUUAUUAUUACUUUCUUGCUUUGGCGCGGCGUUAGGCUCCGCCCCGGCUACCGGCCCCUGCGGGUUAACGCCCGCCUGAGUACCCAAACCCUUAGAUAUUAGUUUCCACUGCGUACUUCAUAAUAGUUGCAACUUUCAAAAACGGAUCUCUUGGUUAGUGCAUCGAUCAAGAACCCAGCAUAACCUAAGAGCCUCGUUCUCAACUCCAA
rnacentral:misc_RNA from 1 species